ensembl:lncRNA
CUAACCUAUAAAAGCAUACAACACAUCAACAAUGAGACAGUUGGUUAAAUGUACGUAAAUAAAUCUUACAUUUGCUACUGACAGAAAAUGCACCGUGUUUGGACUGACAAAAGCGCAAAUAUAUAAAAGUUUCAUUUUCUACCUACCUACCUACAAACAUUACAUUGUAUCAGUUCCACUCUGCUGAACUCCAACUCCCAUAAUGCUUUGCCGUCUACGAACGGAUGGGGGGAAAAAACUACUUCCUAGUUCACAGUGCGACCAUGUGUAUUGCUUACUUCUGGACUGUAAAUAUCAGAUUUGACUAUGAAAAUUAGUGCUCUCGCUGACUUAGCGUGUUUUAUAUUGUUUUAUAUUUGUCCGCGAUGACCGCCUCAAACUCUGAGCUUAUCCCGUUGAUCUACCGUCACCUGAAGGAGCAUGGUUUCCACACAGCUGCAGACGAGCUUCAGAGACAGAGCACGCAGGAUGAGGCAUCAACAAAAUCCACAACAUUACUGGACAUCUACACAGCAUGGUUAAAAUCUUCAAAAAGAAGAAAAAAGCCUGCCAUAUCCAAACCACACACUCCUGGUCAGAAACAAACAACGCCCAAAAAAGUGGCACAGAAGAAAAAGACUGACAAAACCACUAAGCCAGCAUCCAAACUGGGAUCACCAAAAAAGGCCACUCCAACAAAAAGGAAAAAGGGUGAUGGGAAAACGACAAAGAAAGUUGUGAAAUCCAAUAAUCCGGACUCUUUGACUGAAGAAGCAGCUGCUGGAGAGAACUCCGACUCUGACAGCAGUUUGGAUGUGGAGAAGUGGAAGAAACUUGUUCAGGAAAUGACAGACACUGACCUACAGAAAGUGGAAGCUUUCAAUGCCCUUGCGACUCCUGAGCCUAAAAAACAGAGGGUACGAAAACCUCGGGCGAAGCCAAAACCCAAAACUGAAACUCCUGUGAAUGCUCAGAGUGAACAGGGUGAAAAGUCAGAUAAAUCUACGGACGCAGUUUUGGCUACGAAUAAUCCGACCAAAAAGAGUCGCCCAAAAAAGGCUGCACCUGUAGCUGCUUUGGACAACUCAAACAAAGAUCAAAGCAAUAAAACUCCAGUGGCAUCCGUCAUCUCAACACUCAAACAGAGUCCUAAAAAAGAGAAAGGAAAGCUUCGGAUCAACUUUCAGUCGAGCCAAAACAGAAAAAGAAGAAAACUAUUCAAAAUAAUGCCACUACAAAUGCAACAGAUGAAGAUGAUGUUAUUGCCAAAAAUGUUAAUAACAAUAAUAUGGUCAGUCCCAUAGAGAAAGGCCAAGUGAAUACUCCAAAUCUCAAAACAAAGCCCAAAAAGAAGAAAGAAACGGCUCAAAUUGAUGUCAUCGUAAACGCUACAGGUGAUGGUGGCUUUGUUGACAAAAAAUGUGAUGGCAAUAAUAAAGAUGCUAUAUUGAUUAGUCAAAUAGAAGAAGGAAAUGAAAAUGCUUUCAAUCCUCAAACUGAGCCAAAAAAGAAAAAGAAAAAGGCAUAUGAAGAGUCCGUCGAUAGCAACGUGUUAAGUAAAAAUAAUGCAGUAAGUACAGUAGAAGAUUUAAAUGGGAACCUGCCAGCGGAAGACUUAACUCUUUCCCUAAACACUGCUGAAAGUGAGGGUGACUCUAUAGUGAAGGUAAAGAAGAAGAAGAAAAAGGAUAAAGCAGAAGAUGACUCUCAGCAAGCAGUUAUUGAGGCUAAUACUAACUAUGUAAUUAAUGACGGGACAAGUGAGCAAACGGCGGAAGAAGCCAGUUUAAAUACAGAAGUCCCUAAAAAGAAGAAAAAGAAAAAGGACAAAAACAAAGAGGAGUCGGAGACAUUGCCACAGUUGGAGGUGAAUGUUUUAGACGAGGCGGUUUGUGCUGAAGAAAAUACGGAGCAAAUAGUUGUAAAGAAAAAAUCUAAAAAGAAGAAAAGACAGAGUGAAGAACAUUUGGUAGAGGACAAAACGUCAACAACUGAGGCCUGUGAAAUACCAGAGGAGCCUCCAGAUCCUCCAAUGUCUCCACAGACGCCAGGCUCAAAGAAA